GAUAUGGGAGGAAAAUCUUUGAUGUGAUUUGAUCUGGGUGUUCCAAAUACAUGAAACUGGGUCCCAGAAAUACACAGGUACUGUUAUAGUAGAAACACCUCUGGCCCUGUGUCAAAACCAUACUUCCUCUUAGCUCUACAGAGUAAUCGGUGACUUGGCUGCAUCGUCAUUGACUUACCCCGUGGUCAUUACACCCGAAGCUGCACUUCAUCAGAUGGAACCAGGUGGCUGCUGCUCCUAUUCCUACUUUCUCCCCUGCACUAAGUGUGACCUUACAGACUCAGCAAAAUCCACAAGGCCUGUUCAGGGAACGGAACUGCCAUGUUGAAACCAAAUUGUAUUCUAGGCCUAAUGCAGGGAACACAACUCACCAGGAAGCCCCACAUUCUAAAGUGAACUUGAGAGCACAGGUGGGGAGCUGCUCAAUGAGCAGCUCCUAUGCAGAGCUCUCUCCCUCCCUCCCUCCCUCCUUCCCUCCCUGGCCUCCCUCCACAGAUUGCAGAUAAAAAGACCAGACAGAAGGACAUGAAGACAGCAGAGCGCUCUCAAUGACAAGGUACCAGUGCCAUUGCUGGGCAGGAGGAGCUGAGCUGCAGAAUUCACAGAUCCCUGUUGUGUGUUGCCAGAACAAGGCUGAGCAUGAAGAUUCCCAGGAGGAAUAUAAACUAAUCUGUGAAUCUGAUUGGUUGUCCUUUUAAGGAUGGAGAAGGAUGCUUGGCAGAGGUGCCAGCAAGAGGUAGCAUACUUGUACAUAGAAACUAGUGGCCGCAUGUGUGAAGUUGGUGAGAGCGGUCUCUUCUCUGGGACUAUAGAUGAUGUGAACAAGGGACCUGCCUGUGUGUGAAAGGACAUAGAGAAUGUGUCCUGAAAGGAAACUGGCUCCCAAAGCUGUCUCUUUCCUGCUGACUGAUAUUUGGAUGGCACAGUGAGAACUAAAGCAGUCAUCUUUGCCAUGAAUGGCCCACUGAGGAUGACAGAGGAAAGGAAAGCAGAGUCUCUGGGGACAAUGAAGCCAUUCCAUCAUUGAGGCUGGCUGCCCUGAGCCUUAUGGAGAAAAGAAGGAGUCGCCUUGCUUUCAGCCACUGGAAUUAUUGACAUGUUGAGGGUUUUGUAAUGUGUAAUCAAACCUGGUUGAAUCUGUUAAAACUCUCAGCAGGCCAGUGAAGAUGAACAGAUUCUCUGGUCCCAAUUAGGAACCCAGCCAUGGCUCUGGAAUGGACUAUCCAGUGGCUCAUUGUCAUGGAGGAAGCAGUCAUUCAAUCUCCCCUCCUCUUUGUCAUUUAACACACUUCAAAAAGAGGUGGAAGCUGAUUACUUCCUUUAGCCAUGGCAUUGAGUAGCUCUGACAGCUGCUGGCUCUCAGGAUGACCUUAAAUUCACUGUGUAGCCAAAGAUGACUUUGAACUUCUGAUCCCCCUUUCUCCAUCUCCUGGUUGAUGGGAUUCCAGGUGUGCACCACCACACCCAGUUUAUGCUGGGAACUGAACUCAAGGAUCCUGUGUGUCAGGUAAGCACUCUACCAACUGAGCGGCACCCCCAAGGGACUACAUUCUGAGAGCACCUGUAUUCAACUAUGAAUACAAAUAACAAAUGUGAUUUAUUUCUUUUUUAUCUUGGUCUUCUCUUUGGCCAUGGUGCGAGGAGGGCAUGAGAAGACAAGAGUAAGUAAGUAGCAAUGUGUUCUACCCAUGUGUGAAACUGAAAGAGAAGGUGCAGACUAAAGGGGAAGAUGCCUGCAGGUGUAAUGUGAGGCUCUGCAGUGCCCCAAGGAAGACCUGGACAAGAUGGACAGUGGAGCUGGAAGGGGAGAUGGGAGCUAGAGGAAGAUGCUCCGGACUUGUUAUACGGUUGGCGAAGAGGUUCGGGGGACAGACUAAAGUCAAAAUUUCAAAAUGUCAUGGUUCAGAGACUCUCCUUCCCAGAAUUUGAGAAAUUAAUUGUUGAGAAACCAUUAUCUUGGCAGAAGAAAUCACAGAGUAUAUCUGGAAAUUUUGUGGCUUGAAAACUUAAGCAAAUGGGCCUACCUGUUCAGGUCCACUGGGUAAAUACAGUGUUUUCCUGGUCUAGACUUGCAGGUUGCUGCUGGGUGGAAUUACUGGCAGAGUUACAACAAACAUUUUUUUGAAUGCAUAAAAGCAAGGAAAACUAUCAUGAAUGGUUCCAAUUCAUAUUAACAUCUCACCAGUUCAGCAAUAUGCACAAUACCAAUAAAUAUUUCCUUUUUCU
ensembl:lncRNA